GUUCGACUGGCCCAGUGGUUAAGGCGUCUGUGUAUGUUUACCUAGGUACCGAUUCUUAAUGUAAUUAAACUAACAAUACCCUCUUUAGCUUACACACAGAAGAUCCCAGGUUCGAUCCCUGGGUCGAACA